rnacentral:rRNA from 1 species
UACGUAGGGUGCAAGCGUUGUCCGGAAUUAUUGGGCGUAAAGGGCGCGUAGGCGGCUGUACAAGUCAAAGGUGAAAUCCCUCGGCUCAACUGAGGAACUGCCUUUGAAACUGUACGCUUGAGGCCGGGAGGGGGUAGCGGAAUUCCCAGUGUAGCGGUGAAAUGCGUAGAUAUUGGGAGGAACACCAGUGGCGAAGGCGGCUACCUGGACCGGUUCUGACGCUGAUGCGCGAAAGCGUGGGUAGCAAACAGG